UAAAAGUUACUGACACAAAGAUAAAGGCUAAUAGUAUGUUAAGACUGGGACACGACUGCUGAAAGAUUGUAAUAUUUUUCUCACACUUCAGAUUUCUCAGGUAUAUCAAUGGCUCGGUUUCAGCUUUCAGUGCAAGUUCUUGAAGCUUUUUUUUUUUACAUUGUCUUGCCAGUGUUUAACCUUGUUGUAUGUGGCACAGGGUUUAAAAGAUCUAAUUAAACUGUUGGUUUCAGGCUUGUUUAAUCUAAUCGCUGUAGUUAACAGUAAAGGUGAAAUCAUCAAGCAUUGUCAAAUUUUUGUAUCUUCAUUGUGUUAUGCUGAGUUAGAUUUCAUUUGAAAGUAAAUCUUUAAUGUUAUUUUCAUAUUUAAAAAAAAGUAUUGUUACGACAGCGGAAGUCACGUGACGCUGGUAACAUAUGAGGCCCGAGUUUGUUCAAGAAGCCCUCUUUUUUAGUAUAUAAGCCUGGCAGAGGAAGCCUGUGGCAAUGAAUGAAGAGUUCCAGGAAAUUUUGUUACUCAAAACAAGGAGAAAUGGAUAAUAUGAAAACCAAAAGGUUGUCUAAUACCUUUACAGUACAAAGUGUUGAAAAUGUAUGCUUGAAGAACAGGAGAGAACAAUUCUCUCAUAAUGCGCAGUUCUGGUGAGAUGACACAAAGUUUCCUGAUUUCCAUGAAGAUACUAGCUCUUCCUGAAAUAUACAUGAAGUGUGCCACUUGUGGCAGGCAAACAGUUGCUAAUAUUUCAAUCAAACAAGAAGAACUUUCCCUGAGUGAGUGACUUGUUUUAAUAUACAUGAUAAUUGUUCUUAGAUCCUGAU